rnacentral:lncRNA from 1 species
CUUUCAUCUUUUCAGUGUCUUAUGUCUACGCUGGAUAGAAGAAGAAUUAAGAGACUUAUUGAUUCGAGGAAGAUUUAGACCAGUCACUGAGGAGGAACUAGCAGGAAGAGAUUUUCAAGGCAGGUCCUUGGGCUGUGUGUGGCAAUUGGGCACGUACCUGUUGGAAAUGCUUCAGGCAGAGAGCAACCUGUCUGUAGAGCCCCGGUACAGCAGGGUGCUGGCCUGAAACCAAUGUUCUGUGGGACUGGAGCCAGAAACAGGAUCAGGGUUGCAGGAAGAACCCUGAAAAGAAAGGCUCUUCUUUCAGAAAGUGGAGCUCCAUGAGCUGUCGGCAUCCCAGGGGCAGAGCAGAGGCAGAUUUUGGCUGUGAAGUUGACCCAGCCAAUGCCACGCAGGACAAGGUGGCAUUGAGAAGGUCCACAGCAGCAGCAUGUGUGCUGGAGGGGAACCACAAGCCGUGAAGGAUAGGGCAAAAGUGCCCGCUUCAUAAAUACACAUAAACAAACAAAACAGCUCACCAGCAGACAAGUAAGUGGUCUCUGAUCCAGGCAAGCAUGAUUGUUUCUCCAAUUUCUUCCCUCUCUCCAUCCUCACCAGCUCUUCCAGUUGUUUUCAGCAGCGUUCUUGAAUGAAUAAGUCAGAAUAA